ACCAAUUCUCUUCUUCUUCCUUGGGGAUACAACCCUCCAUUUUAACUAUGUUUAUGUUUCCAAAUUCCAGUAAUCAAGCAGAUUCAGAUCCAAAUUCAUUGUUAAAUUGUUGAUUCGCAGAUCAAACUUUGUGAGUUCAGAAAAUUAUCAAGGUCCGGGCAACAGAAAGUGAAGCAGAAGAAGAAACGACUCCACGCCAGCUUUAAGAACGAUUGAGGUUGAGCAGGCGAUGGAAUGGAUUGGUGUUGAGCGGAUUUCUCUUUUGAUGUUUAUGUAAUGAAACCUUGAGUAUGCAUCUCCAUAUGCAUAACUCACACGUUUUUCCGCUGCAAACACUCUGAAUUUGUUAUUGUAUUGUGGAACUUAUUACUCCUUCAUUUUGUUUAACUUUCAUUUGGGGUUUAGUCGUUAUGGCUGGCUCGUUUGUUAAUUACCCAAGUGGUUAUAUAUAUAUAUAUACCACUAGUUUGUUGUUAUAAAUGUUGGUUAUUUAGUAAAUCCCUUUUUAAAUUCCAUUUCUUAUUGUUCACCCAAGUCAUAACCCCGGUUAACCCGUCAUUGGGAUAGUGGGCUGUGACAGAGUGGUAUCAGAGCA